CGAUGACUCUCUAGCUUGCUAGAGAUGAUUAGUGGCGGACGGGUGAGUAACAUUUAGGAAUCUACCUAGUAGUGGGGGAUAGCUCGGGGAAACUCGAAUUAAUACCGCAUACGACCUACGGGUGAAAGGGGGCGCAAGCUCUUGCUAUUAGAUGAGCCUAAAUCAGAUUAGCUAGUUGGUGGGGUAAAGGCCCACCAAGGCGACGAUCUGUAACUGGUCUGAGAGGAUGAUCAGUCACACCGGAACUGAGACACGGUCCGGACUCCUACGGGAGGCAGCAGUGGGGAAUAUUGGACAAUGGGGGCAACCCUGAUCCAGCCAUGCCGCGUGUGUGAAGAAGGCCUUUUGGUUGUAAAGCACUUUAAGCAGGGAGGAGAGGCUAAUGGUUAAUACCCAUUAGAUUAGACGUUACCUGCAGAAUAAGCACCGGCUAACUCUGUGCCAGCAGCCGCGGUAAUACAGAGGGUGCGAGCGUUAAUCGGAAUUACUGGGCGUAAAGCGAGUGUAGGUGGCUCAUUAAGUCACAUGUGAAAUCCCCGGGCUUAACCUGGGAACUGCAUGUGAUACUGGUGGUGCUAGAAUAUGUGAGAGGGAAGUAGAAUUCCAGGUGUAGCGGUGAAAUGCGUAGAGAUCUGGAGGAAUACCGAUGGCGAAGGCAGCUUCCUGGCAUAAUAUUGACACUGAGAUUCGAAAGCGUGGGUAGCAAACAGGAUUAGAUACCCUGGUAGUCCACGCCGUAAACGAUGUCUACUAGCCGUUGGGGUCCUUGAGACUUUAGUGGCGCAGUUAACGCGAUAAGUAGACCGCCUGGGGAGUACGGCCGCAAGGUUAAAACUCAAAUGAAUUGACGGGGGCCCGCACAAGCGGUGGAGCAUGUGGUUUAAUUCGAUGCAACGCGAAGAACCUUACCUGGUCUUGACAUAGUGAGAAUCUCUCAGAGAUGAGAGAGUGCCUUCGGGAACUCACAUACAGGUGCUGCAUGGCUGUCGUCAGCUCGUGUC
rnacentral:rRNA from 1 species